rnacentral:rRNA from 1 species
CUACGGGCCGCAGCAGUGGGGAAUAUUGCACAAUGGGGGGAACCCUGAUGCAGCAACGCCGCGUGGAGGAUGACGCAUUUCGGUGUGUAAACUCCUUUUAUAUGUCAAGAAAAUGACGGUAGCAUAUGAAUAAGCACCGGCUAACUCCGUGCCAGCAGCCGCGGUAAUACGGAGGGUGCAAGCGUUACUCGGAAUCACUGGGCGUAAAGGACGCGUAGGCGGGUUGGAAAGUCAGGUGUGAAAUCCUACAGCUUAACUGUAGAACUGCACUUGAAACUUCUAAUCUAGAGUAUGGGAGGGGGAGAUGGAAUUAGUGGUGUAGGGGUAAAAUCCGUAGAUAUCACUAGGAAUACCUAAAGCGAAGGCGAUCUCCUGGAACAUUACUGACGCUAAGGCGUGAAAGCGUGGGGAGCAAACAGGAUUAGAUACCCUUGUAGUC